rnacentral:rRNA from 1 species
UACAGAGGUCUCAAGCGUUGUUCGGAUUCAUUGGGCGUAAAGGGCGCGUAGGCGGCGGGGUAAGUCUGGUGUGAAAUCUAGGAGCUCAACUCCUAAACUGCACUGGAUACUGCUCUGCUAGAGGACUGGAGAGGAGACUGGAAUUCACGGUGUAGCAGUGAAAUGCGUAGAUAUCGUGAGGAAGACCAGUGGCGAAGGCGGGGUCUCUGGACAGUUCCUGACGCUGAGGCGCGAAGGCCAGGGGAGCAAAGCGGG